rnacentral:rRNA from 1 species
GGGGGGAGCAAGCGUUGUUCGGAUUCAUUGGGCGUAAAGCGCUCGUAGGCCGCUCUGUAAGUCGGGAGUGAAAGACCACGGCUCAACCGUGGGAACGCUUUCGAAACUGUGGAGCUUGAGGCCGGGAGAGGAGAUCGGAAUUCCUGGUGUAGCGGUGAAAUGCGUAGAUAUCAGGAGGAACACCCGUGGCGAAGGCGGAUCUCUGGACCGGUUCUGACGCUGAUGAGCGAAAGCUAGGGGAGCAAACAGGAUUAGAUACCCUGGUAGUCCUAGCUGUAAACGAUGGGCACUAGGUGUGGGGGGAUCGACCCCUUCCGUGCCGCAGUUAACGCAUUAAGUGCCCCGCCUGGGGAGUACGACCGCAAGGUUGAA